CAGGGAUUACCUCAGUAACGGCGAGUGAAGCGGUAACAGCUCAAAUUUGAAAGCUAGCUCUUUUAGGGUUCGCAUUGUAAUUUGUAGAAGAUGCUUCGGGUGUGGCCCCGGUCUAAGUUCCUUGGAACAGGACGUCAUAGAGGGUGAGAAUCCCGUAUGUGACUGGGUGCUUUCGCUCAUGUGAAGCUCUUUCGACGAGUCGAGUUGUUUGGGAAUGCAGCUCAAAAUGGGUGGUAAAUUUCAUCUAAAGCUAAAUAUUGGCCAGAGACCGAUAGCGCACAAGUAGAGUGAUCGAAAGAUGAAAAGCACUUUGGAAAGAGAGUUAAACAGUACGUGAAAUUGUUGAAAGGGAAGCGCUUGCAACCAGACUUGCGCGCUGAUGAUCAUCCGGGCUUCUGCCCGGUGCACUCGUCUGCGCUCAGGCCAGCAUCGGUUUCGGUGGUGGGAUAAAGGCCUUGGGAAUGUAGCUCCUCUCGGGGAGUGUUAUAGCCCUCGGUGCAAUGCCGCCUACCGGGACCGAGGACCGCGCUUCGGCUAGGAUGCUGGCGUAAUGGUUGUAAGCGACCCGUCUUGAAACACGGACCAAGGAGUCUAACAUCUAUGCGAGUGUUUGGGUGUCAAACCCAUACGCGUAAUGAAAGUGAACGGAGGUGAGAACCCUCAAGGGUGCAUCAUCGACCGAUCCUGAUGUCUUCGGAUGGAUUUGAGUAAGAGCAUAGCUGUUGGGACCCGAAAGAUGGUGAACUAUGCGUGAAUAGGGUGAAGCCAGAGGAAACUCUGGUGGAGGCUCGCAGCGGUUCUGACGUGCAAAUCGAUCGUCAAAUUUGCGUAUAGGGCGAAAGACUAAUCGA
rnacentral:rRNA from 1 species